GGAAGUGAAAAUGUGGUCUCCUAAUUGUCCACACAAAUCAUUCAAACUCUCCUAUAAAUAGAAACCAUCUCCUCACUAAUUCUACACACCAGCUCUGCUCUUCCUCUCUGCAUACAAUUGAAGUUAGUAACUUCUUUCUUAUUCUCUCUUUGUUCUUUUGUUUGUUUUCUUUUAAUUCCCUUUUCUUCCAUUUCUUAUUUAUAUUAGCUUAGUUUCAUAAAUUCUUUCAUCUUUUCAUUAGCCUAGCAUCUGUUACAUAUACAUGAGCCUUUCCACAAAAUUCCAUGAAGAACAAAUGGUCUUAGCUAUGAAAACUAGGCAAUACCUGGAAUCAUGAUCAUAUACUCCAAGAAUGAUGAAAUUCCAAUUCUCUUGUUUUGCUUUUAUUUAUGUCUUGUGAUUAGGAACAGUUGUGUCUAGAGUUGAUUUCUAGAAGAAAAACAAAGCUUUGAUACUCAUGAUUUGAAGGGAUAAUCAUGUUGAAACUCAUAGUCAUGAAUAUUUAGUUGAUAAUGUCUAACUAAAAUUUGAUUCAAGCUGUUAAUUUCCAAACUUAAGCUUAAUUUAAACAAACUUCCGAUCCCCUGUACUCUAGUUCAUACUGAUGCAUUACUUUCCCCACUUAACUAUAUAUUCUUCUCUAUAAUCAUUCGGUUUAUUUCCUCUCUCAUUUCUUACCUUUUAAUUUUAAUGCAAAUGAUUUCAUAUCUAAUAUGUAUUUUGUUUGCAUGAUCUUAAGUCAUAUACACCCUUAAAAAUAUACAUAGGAAACAAAUGACAUACAAGUUUCUUUAUUAAUAAUACUGUGUUUGAUUUCUAUAUAUUUCUAGUAUAUGAACUUGAAUUUACUUUAACACUUUAAAGACUAUUAAUUAUAAGUAUAGUUAGUUAAGAAAUAGUUGUUUUUUAUGAGUGAAUAGGUAUCAUAGAAGAAGGUGAUCGCUCAGCUUAUUUUGGAAAGCUUCGAGGUAAGGGGAAUCGCUAAUAAUAAGUUUCGAUGAGCACAAGAAAUAUGUUACUUGUAUAUAUAUUAUUAGUUAUAACUAGGGGUGUGGUGUACUUUAUAUAGUAAUUUAUAUUCAUUAAGGUAUAUGCAAAAUGUUAAAUGAUGAGUGAUUGAUUAUAGUUUGAAUAUAUGCGUGAAUAAAUCUUCUGCAAUAUAUGAUUUGAAAAUGUUCAUGUGCUUGAGUGUUUAUGGUGAAAGCUUGAGGUGAUCUCAUAAGUUGUAUGGUGAGUUUUGAGGAUUAAUAUGUCNNNNNNNNNNNNNNNNNNNNNNNNNNNNNNNNNNNNNNNNNNNNUAUGUUGAUUUGCAAACGACCAUGUUAUGGCAGUUGAAACGGCCUUACGCUCAUAAUAGAGAUCUCCAUGGAGUAGGUUGAAUAAAGAUAAUACUAACCAAGUUAGAAGACUAACUUUGAGUGAAGAAUUACGAUUGGAUUUUAUAUACAUUUUAAAUGAUUAAAUUUCGAUGUUUGAUAUAUUUGAUGAUUGAUAUAUUGGAUAUAUUUGAUUAACUUUGUUUUUGACUGAUUGUUGAAUUGUGAUAUUGAUAUAAUGUUUUGUGCAAUUCAUAUUUUUGUGACUAUUUGACUGUACGUGACUAUUUGACUACUUGAUUCUAUUUGAUGUAAAUACAUGAUUAGAUACUCAGGUAUG
rnacentral:lncRNA from 1 species